AUGAGCUGGCCGGACGCCGCCGCCACCAGAUGCCCCGCCGGGGAGAAGAAGAAGACGUCAUGGCCGGAGUUAGUGGGGAAGUCAGUCGAGGAGGCCAGGCAGGUGAUCCUCAAGGACAUGCCUGAAGCGGACAUCGUAGUCCUCCCUGCCGCCUUUGAUUUUGCCGCCGUCAGGUUUAAGUAUCUCUUCGGAAGGUGUCCCCAUGCAUGUGUUGGUUUUUCUUCUAUCUACCCUACCCCUUCAAUCUCAAACCAAUUUGAGCUCUGGUCGGUAGGAAUGAUGCAACUUGCACCACUUGUUGCAAAUAUCCGCUCACAGGGUCUCGAGAAAACCCUAUACGACGCACAUUGCGUCAAGUUGUCAAGCAAUCACACAAGGUUCACAAGCAAGCGAUGA
rnacentral:rRNA from 1 species